GCGCAGGGGAGCGUCUGCAAAGUGUCGCGGAGAGAAGCGCCCACCCACCAGUAAGCGGGCGUAGCGGCAGAGGAGGGGGAGAACUGGAUGGCGGAGCGCGGAGACGUGGGCACUAACCGAAUCAGGCCUGCCGAGCCUGGGGCGCCUCUUCCUGGAGCCCAGCUGAUGCGGUUCCGGGGGUCCUCCGGGUGAGUGGCUAUGUGACCAGUGGGCCGAGAAAAGUCAGAAGGUAUGAGGCAGUAAGGAAAAUUGAAGUGAAAUUUGAGUCUCCUUUAAUGAUCCCUAAGUAGCUGAUUAAUACAUGCAUACCUUUAGUCUUAGCCGCUCCAACCUACCAUAACCUCCACCCACCCCCAUCCACGAAAAGGAUUAAAGGAAUAAGAGGACCAGGAUGUGAGAAUGGGUUGUGUGGUGGUUACUUCUCCGCAAAGUGUGGGUCAGGAAUAGCCCACACUGGAGCCACCUGUGGAACAGCUACACUCCAGUCCUUGCUCCUCAUUCCUCCAUGGCCUCAGUUUACUCACCUGUUCAGUGGGAAGUUACUCUUAAAAGCCUUUGAGAGGAUGUAGUUGUGUGACAUACCAAAGGCUCAGCCCAGAACCGGACCACUCUUGGAGCUUAAGAUCCAAGCGCUGUUGAUAUUAUUUGAAGUCAGUCGGUGUAGAUGCACAGCCUUUAAGACACUCCCCCUCUCCCUUCCGCCCCAAAAGAAGUCGUGUAAAGAGGCUAUCUGCAUAGGGCACAUACACACACACAAUCAGAGGAAAGGAGCAGCGAAGACAUGUUUAUUAGACCUACACUGCCUCUCCGGUUCACAAGCAGCAUCCUCUUUGGGGUUCUGAAGCCCUAAGAGGCAUGACUUAAACCAUCCUUGCAGAGGAAGACUGAAUGUGUCAACCAAGACUAAGCAGUUCAUUUUUACAAAUAAACUGCAUCCUGGGUCAGCA
rnacentral:lncRNA from 1 species